AUUGAACGCUGGCGGCAGGCCUAACACAUGCAAGUCGAGCGGAGCGGCGGACGGGUGCGUAAUGCUUAGGAAUCUGCCUGGUAGUGGGGGAUAACGUUCGGUAAUGGGCGCUAAUACUGCUUACUAUCAGAUGCGCCUAGGCCGGAUUAGCUAGUUGGUGGGGUAAAGGCCUACCAAGGCGACGAUCCGUAGCUGGUCUGAGAGGAUGAUCAGUCACACUGGAACUGAGACACGGUCCAGACUCCUACGGGAGGCAGCAGUGGGGAAUAUUGGACAAUGGGCGAAAGCCUGAUCCAGCCAUGCCGCGUGUAUGAAGAAGGUCUUCGGGUUGUAAAGCACUUUAAGUUGGGAGGCGUUACCAGCAGAAUAAGCACCGGCUAACUUCGUGCCAGCCGCCGCGGUAAUAC
rnacentral:rRNA from 1 species